GCGGUUCUGAUUUCAGCCGCUUCGCACUUUCUUCCCAUAUUUCCGGGUGAGGUCGGGGGACGCCGAGCAACACGGUAUCCAAUGCCAUCGCCAUUUUGCAAACACACACGCAAUUGAAUUGAAUUGAAUUGAAUUCACAAGAUACCUAAAUCCUCUUUUACUUUUUUUUCUUUUGCUACAAUUUACAAUCAAUAUAACCAAAAAAGGUGGGUUUUUCUAUGUUUG
rnacentral:lncRNA from 1 species